rnacentral:rRNA from 1 species
UACAGAGGGGGCAAGCGUUGUUCGGAAUUACUGGGCGUAAAGGGCGCGUAGGCGGCCUUCUAAGUCGAACGUGAAAUCCCCGGGCUCAACCCGGGAACUGCGUCCGAUACUGGGAGGCUUGAGGACUGGAGAGGAGACUGGAAUUCAUGGUGUAGCAGUGAAAUGCGUAGAGAUCAUGAGGAAGACCAGUGGCGAAGGCGGGUCUCUGGACAGUUCCUGACACUGAGGCACGAAGGCCAGGGGAGCAAACGGG